UUCCUACGGGAGGCAGCAGUGGGGAAUAUUGGGCAAUGGGCGCAAGCCUGACCCAGCAACGCCGCGUGAGGGAAGAAGGUCUUCGGAUUGUAAACCUCUGUCCUUGGUGACGAAACAAAUGACGGUAGCCAAGGAGGAAGCCCCGGCUAACUACGUGCCAGCAGCCGCGGUAAUACGUAGGGGGCGAGCGUUGUCCGGAAUUACUGGGCGUAAAGGGUGCGUAGGUGGCCUUUUAAGUUGGAUGUGAAAUACCCGGGCUUAACUUGGGGGGUGCAUCUAAUACUGGGAGGCUAGAGUGCAGGAGAGGGAAGCGGAAUUCCUAGUGUAGCGGUGAAAUGCGUAGAUAUUAGGAGGAACACCAGUGGCGAAGGCGGCUUUCUGGACUGUAACUGACACUGAGGCACGAAAGCGUGGGGAGCAAACAGGAUUAGAUACCCUGGUAGUC
rnacentral:rRNA from 1 species